AUGGCAGAGUUCGCGCUUGGGUUGACCAAGUCGGCGGUGGAGGGGACGAUAAGCAGGGUGAAGUCGGCGAUUGACGAGGAGGGUAAGCAAAGGGUGCGUGUUCAGGACGACCUGGUGUUCAUCACCGGGGAGUUUGAAAUGAUGCAGUCCUUUCUUGGCGUCGCCAAUGCCGAGCGCGCCAAUAACCCGGUGGUGCGGACAUGGGUGAAGCAGCUCCGUGACCUGGCCUUCGAUGUCGAGGACUGUGUUGAGUUCGUCAUCCACCUUGACAAACCGGCACGCUGGGACUGGGUCCGGCGCUUCACCUCGUCCGUCAUCUGCAUCGCAAGGCCGCCGCUGCCCCUGGAUGUGGCGGUUGCAGACAUCAAGCGGCUCAAGACCAGGGUGGAGGAUGUAAGCCAGAGGAACACACGCUACAACCUCAUCGGUGACUCCGGCUCAAGCUCCAACUCUGCCGUUACUGUUGUCUCCACUCCGGCAGUAGAGCUUAAGCCGGCCGGCGCAGCAUCAGCAUUCCACACCCUAUGCGAGGUGUGGGAGGAAGCGGGGAGGAAGCGACGCGGCACGGAUGAUCUCAAGAAGUUGAUCUUGAGAGGAGGGGGUGACCUUGAAGUCAUCUCCCUAUGGGGAGGUCAAGAGGCUGCACAUCUUGAGGUUAUUAAGGAGGCCUACAAUGAUCCACAGAUCUGCCAAGAAUUCUGUAUCCGUGCACGGGUAAAGCUGCUGCAUCCAUUCAACCUUGACGAGUUCCUCAAGAGCUUGCUCACUCAGUUCAACUCGGCGGCCUCCCUUCACCGACAAAGGAGCUCUGGGCAUUCUCACAUCCAGAUCCAGGCAACGGAUGGCGUAUGUGAGAAUGACCAGCUCAUGCGCCAUGUGACAGAGCAUAGGUAUCUCGUCAUCCUGGAAGAUGUAUGCACUGCGGCAGAGUGGGAUGACAUCAGAAAGUAUCUGCCGGGCAGUAAGAAUGGCAGCCGGAUAGUCGUGUCAGCGAAGCAAUUGGGGCUUGCGGUUUCCUGCGUGCGGAAGUCGUACCAACUAGCGGAGCUCCAAAAGUUCUCUCAUGGUCAAUCUCUUUGUGCAUUCAUCAACAAGGUAUGCAGUUUUCUUUUCCUUUUGCAAAAACAUCCAAUCUAUUUAUCAAACAUCAUGGCAGUAAAAAAUAUAUCAGAAUUAACAGAAAUUACAUCCAUAUUCGUAGGCCACCUAGCGACGACUACAAGCACUAAACAACUGUAA
rnacentral:rRNA from 1 species